CAGAGAGUGGAGUGGUGUCCAUUGUCAUGACUUGCCAGAGAGUUCGGAUCUGACGGUUGAAGCUCGGCUAGGAUGUCUGAUGGAGCGGAAUGGUUCUCUGUCUCAUUAAUCCAGGAGAAGCUCGGAUAUUUUUGAGAUUGCUGACGGGUCUACUGUUGUCGGAUGCCUUGGGUGCUGAUGCUAUAGGUGGGAGUCAUCUGCUGUAGAAGCUCAGACGAGAACUUUCUAUUGGUGAAGUUCGGUAGAAAUCCGAUUGCC
rnacentral:lncRNA from 1 species